UUGAACGCUGGCGGCAUGCCUUACACAUGCAAGUCGAACGGCAGCGCGGACUUCGGUCUGGCGGCGAGUGGCGAACGGGUGAGUAAUACAUCGGAACGUACCCUGUUGUGGGGGAUAACUAGUCGAAAGAUUAGCUAAUACCGCAUACGACCUGAGGGUGAAAGUGGGGGACCGGAAACGGCCUCAUGCAGCAGGAGCGGCCGAUGUCUGAUUAGCUAGUUGGUGGGGUAAAGGCCCACCAAGGCGACGAUCAGUAGCUGGUCUGAGAGGACGAUCAGCCACACUGGGACUGAGACACGGCCCAGACUCCUACGGGAGGCAGCAGUGGGGAAUUUUGGGCAAUGGGGGCAACCCUGAUCCAGCAAUGCCGCGUGUGUGAAGAAGGCCUUCGGGUUGUAAAGCACUUUUGUCCGGAAAGAAAUCGCGCUGGUUAAUACCUGGCGUGGAUGACGGUACCGGAAGAAUAAGCACCGGCUAACUACGUG
rnacentral:rRNA from 1 species